rnacentral:rRNA from 1 species
UACAGAGGUCCCAAGCGUUGUCCGGAAUUACUGGGCGUAAAGCGCGCGCAGGCGGCCCGCGAGGUGUCACGUGAAAGCCCCGGGCUCAACCCGGGAGGGUCGUGGCAAACCGGCGGGCUUGAGGCCGGUAGAGGUGGGUGGAACUCCUGGUGGAGUGGUGAAAUGCGUAGAGAUCAGGAAGAACACCCGUGGCGAAGGCGGCCCACUGGGCCGGUACUGACGCUGAGGCGCGAAGGCGUGGGGAGCGAACGGG